rnacentral:lncRNA from 1 species
UAGGUUUCACUGUGUUGAUCAUCAUCGAGGACGACAGACAGUGCACACAAAUAAAUCAGUGGAUUAAGGUAUUUCGUGCCUGCCCUGAUUCAAGCAGAUUGCAUUUUAAGGGACAUGACGAUGGGCCGCUUCGCCUAACCCACAUCAAAACGCAGACCAGCGCAGAUACCCCUGUCACCCUGCGCCUGCAGGCCCUGUACAGACUGAUUUGUGUAAUCACCCGCAGAGGCAACGGAUCUACAGCUCGAGCUUUGGAGGACUGUUUAUUUUGGAGAUUUUUUUUUUAAUGAAAAUGGAUGCUGAGCUGCUUCACUCCCCUGUCUUGGGUCUGGCAGAGGAGGAGGAGGUGGACAUGACUGACUGGAACCUUCCACUGGCCUUCAUGAAGAAACGCCACACAGAGAAGAUUGAGGGAUAUAAAGCUUUGGCUCAGAGCUGGAGAAUGAAAGACAGGACUGCAUGGCAUGUAGCCAUUGUGGCUGUGCAGGAGGAGAGGCAGACAGACGAGAGGAUCAACGGCUGACAGAAAGUAUCCCCAGGAAUUGUCACGGAGAUUCACCAGUGUUGACCACUACACCAAAUGGUCAACAAGGCACAACCAGGCACAAAAGGAACCUGUUGCCAUCAAAGUUGUCAAGGAGGAAGAGGGAACACUGCCUGUCGACAUAUUAGGGUUCUUAAAUGUUCUUGAAGAUGACGUUGUGAUGCCUUCAAAAUUCUGGUUCAGUGCAAGGACUCUGGUUUGAGCUGCUUUAUGCCCUUCACAUGACCUACUCCAAGAAACUGACUUUUUAACCUCCUUAAAUUUCAGAAAAAGCUACUGUUGACAAAUUGAUUGAUUGAUUACAUUUGGGAAACUUGUUUUGUACUUGAUAUACUUGACUGAAUUAAAUGUAUUAUUUCAAUAAAUUAUCUUAAAAA